rnacentral:rRNA from 1 species
GACGAACGCUGGCGGCGUGCUUAACACAUGCAAGUCGAACGAAGUGGCGAACGGGUGAGUAACGCGUAAUCAACCUGCCCUUCAGAGGGGGACAACAGUUGGAAACGACUGCUAAUACAGCAUACUGAAGGAGGGGAUGGAGUAGGAUUAGGUAGUUGGCGGGGUAACGGCCCCCCAAGGAGAGGAUCAGUAGCCGGUCUGAGAGGAUGAACGGCCACAUUGGGACUGAGACACGGCCCAGACCCCUACGGGAGGCAGCAGUGGGGAAUCUGCCGAAAUGGAGGAAAGUCUGACGGAGUAACGCCGCGUGAGUGAUGACGGCCUUCGGGUUGUAAAGCUCUGUUAAUCGGGACGCGUUACCGGAAUAGAAAGCCACGGCUAACUACGUGCCAGCAGCCGCGGUAAUAC